AAUAUCAAAUCAUUAGGAUCAAUAUCCAAUAAACAGGAUCAAUAUCUAAUAAACAGGAUCAAUGUCCAAUUAACAGGAUCAAUACUACACUACCCACAAUCCCCGUAGCCGUUGCUAUGGAUAUGUCUCCAUCCAGAGCUGUGACAUUCUGAAUGUUCAGUAUCUGAUGACCUGCAGGGUUACCACCAACCAGACUUCUAACAAAAAACACCACGUUUAAGACAGGUGACCACCAACCAGACUUCUAACAAAAAACACCACGUUUAAGACAGGUGACCACCAACCAGACUUCUAACAAAAAACACCACGUUUAAGACAGGUAACCACCAACCAGACUUCUAACAAAAAACACCACGUUUAAGACAGGUGACCACCAACCAGACUUCUAACAAAAAACACCACGUUUAAGACAGGUGACCACCAACCAGACUUCUAACAAAAAACACCACGUUUAAGAGAGGUGACCACCAACCAGACUUCUAACAAAAAACACCACGUUUAAGACGCGUUACCACCAACCAGACUUCUAACAAAAAAACACCACGUUUAAGACAGGUGACCACCAACCAGACUUCUAACAAAAAACACCACGUUUAAGACAGGUGACCACCAACCAGACUUCUAACAAAAAACACCACGUUUAAGAGAGGUGACCACCAACCAGACUUCUAACAAAAAACACCACGUUUAAGACGCGUUACCACCAACCAGACUUCUAACAAAAAACACCACGUUUAAGACAGGUGACCACCAACCAGACUUCUAACAAAAAACACCACGUUUAAGACAGGUGACCACCAACCAGACUUCUAACAAAAAACACCACGUUUAAGACGCGUUACCACCAACCAGACUUCUAACAAAAAACACCACGUUUAAGACAGGUGACCACCAACCAGACUUCUAACAAAAAACACCACGUUUAAGACAGGUAACCACCAACCAGACUUCUAACAAAAAACACCACGUUUAAGACACGCUACCUGCGUUAUUGUCGUUGUUCUUUUCCCUCCAUGGCUUUAAUUCACUGUCCUACAUGAAUUGGUUGUUGUGGAUACAUGUAAAAUAUUUUUGAUCAAUUAGAUAGUCAAAGUCAAAGUCCUCCUGCUGAUUCACCCAGAUAAUAAAAACAUCAAAAAAAAUUCCACAGAA